rnacentral:rRNA from 1 species
ACGUAGGGUGCAAGCGUUAAUCGGAAUUACUGGGCGUAAAGCGUGCGCAGGCGGUUUUGUAAGUCAGAUGUGAAAUCCCCGGGCUCAACCUGGGAACUGCAUUGGUGACUGGCAGGCUAGAGUAUGGCAGAGGGAGGUAGAAUUCCACGUGUAGCAGUGAAAUGCGUAGAGAUGUGGUGGAAUACCGAUGGCGAAGGCAGCCCCCUGGGCCAAUACUGACGCUCAUGCACGAAAGCGUGGGGAGCAAACAGGA